rnacentral:lncRNA from 1 species
CAUCAUCUAUUUUAUUAUUCAUUGUACAUAGGAGACAUACACAUGUUUCUUCAAGUUCAUCUUCAUCUUCAUCUUUAAGUAGUGAACUUGAAUUUUAUUUACAAAAUGAUCUUCAAUCUGCAUAUGAUGAAAAAUCAAAUAGAAAAUCUUGAUAUGUUAGCAUGGUGAAAAAGUAUUAAAAAUCAAUAUCCUGUAAUGUUCGUCAUUACACGUAAUAUUUUAGCUGUGCCGAUAUCCACAGUAGUAUUGAAAUCUAUUUUUAGUG